AUUGAACGCUGGCGGCAUGCCUUACACAUGCAAGUCGAACGGCAGCACGGGUGCUUGCACCUGGUGGCGAGUGGCGAACGGGUGAGUAAUACAUCGGAACAUGUCCUGUAGUGGGGGAUAGCCCGGCGAAAGCCGGAUUAAUACCGCAUACGAUCUACGGAUGAAAGCGGGGGACCUUCGGGCCUCGCGCUAUAGGGUUGGCCGAUGGCUGAUUAGCUAGUUGGUGGGGUAAAGGCCUACCAAGGCGACGAUCAGUAGCUGGUCUGAGAGGACGACCAGCCACACUGGACUGAGACACGGCCCAGACUCCUACGGGAGGCAGCAGUGGGGAAUUUUGGACAAUGGGCGAAAGCCUGAUCCAGCAAUGCCGCGUGUGUGAAGAAGGCCUUCGGGUUGUAAAGCACUUUUGUCCGGAAAGAAAUCCUUGGCCCUAAUACGGUCGGGGGAUGACGGUACCGGAAGAAUAAGCACCGGCUAACUACGUG
rnacentral:rRNA from 1 species